ACGGGCUCAAGGACACAGCACCAUUUCUGGGGUGUUCUUGCCAAGAAUGCAUGUCCUCAGUUCACUCACAAGGAAGCACAGACAGCGAUUCGGACCAGGUAACAGAAUGUGACAUGCAGGGCUUUGGGUCCACAUUUGCACGGGCGGAGCCGCACAUCUCCUAGUUCUGGGAGGCUGUGCACAUGAGCCUGGUCCUCAGGACAUUUCCCGGCGCUGCAAGCUCCUGGAGAGCCCUCAUACCCGGCUGCAGCUCAGACCCUCCGCACCUCUGCCCGAAGCCUGAGCCACCUCCACACCGUUAGCCCAGGGGCAGUCCCUGGUGACACACGCCAGAGAGGUCUAAAUUUGGGAAAAUUCACAACCUAAGGGCUGGCGCCCUGGAAAUGGCCCUGAGGGUCCAUCUCCUGGGCCCUGGCCUCCGCCCACACCACCCCGAUCAUCAGAGGAAGGCCAUCUCAGUGGCACAGUCCUCCUGGCUGCAGGAGGGGACCACAUCCUGUCUGACUGCAGCUCCUUGUAAGCUGUGCAGGCCCUGCUGCCAGCCGCUCCCUGUGUGCUUGGUGAGGGGAGAAGCUUCCCCCACCCAGCGAGGGGGCCGGGAGAACUGCCAGCUUGCCUGUUCCCACUGGGGCAGGGAGGGGCAGAAACCAGGCUCAGCAUUCCGGGGCCCCUGGGCCGGCCCAAGGUGAUUCCUCUGUCUUCCCCAAAUAUCUGGUCUCCCUCAAGCCCAGACACUGUGAGCCACCCCCUUCAGGUCUUGGCAGCAGCAUGUGGCUGGAUGGACACACACGGACAGGGCCCCAGACCUCAGAUGUGCAGCUCAUGGGGUGACUGUGUUCCUGGGGCCCGGGUGACUGUCACUCACUCAGGACUGACACUGCCUGUCAGUUCGCCGCAGGCCAAGCCUGUUGGGUCUCCAGAGCAUGGGUGUGCGUACCCCGUCCUGAACCGCACAGGCUGGUUCUCAGAGUGCUGCGGGCGGGGCCCUGCCUGUUGCUAGGCCGGCGGGUGACUGAGGUGAGGAGGUCAGAGGCAGUUAGCGGCAUGGAGCCGGUGGCAGAGCGAACAAGGCCCUCUGAGACCAGGACCCAGACCCUUCAGACGGGGCCCCUGGGCGGGUCCACGUAUGGCCUGCAGCGAGGCUGACUGAGGGAUGGAUGCCUUCAGAAGCGGGAACACCGUACCACAGAGGCCCCUGCGAGGCAGCACCCAUUCCGCUGCAGAGGGCCCUGAGCCGCCUUGCCUGGCCCGUCCUCCCCGUCGGAAGUGGGUCUGCACCGUGGCCCCGGCACCUCCUCCAGCACAUCCGGCUGCAUGGAGGCAAGCGCCUGUAAGCCCGACUUGUGUAAAUAUUUACUGGGAUGAUCAGGCUGCAAGACUGGAGGUUGCUUCCCCAUCACAAAAUAAGCAGGAAGACGAACCGGCAAGUUCCCAAAAAUUAAGUGUCAGGGCAGGAGGCCUGGGGUUGUUGGAAGAAGCCCCACUCUGGCCCCUCACCCCAGGCUGCAGGGUGGGGAGGGGCUGGGGUUGCCUGCAGAGAAGAACCUGCCUCCCAGGAGAUGGCUGCUGGGGCUCUGUAAGGGGCCCAGGGGGACCUUGAGCCAGAGCCAAGGCCCCUGGGCAGCCACCAGCUUCAGCCUGGUGGCCCAGAAGGCUGCUGAUGGGUGAUUGGCAACUCCAGGGUCUCUUUAGAAAAAGAGGUGUGACAAGUCAGUCCACCAGCGUGUGCAGGGGGCCGCGGGAGCCACCCGCAGUGAGCCUGGGGUCAGACUCUAAGGAGCCCCGGGCAGGAGGGAUGGCAGAGUGGGCUGCAGGCCCACGUGCAGCUCAGAUAGUACAUGUGGCUCCAUAAGUUCCCACCCCCGGGAUCCUGCACUGGGACACCAUGCUGGUGGGGUGUGCGCGUGUGCAUACAUGAGCGAGCACAGGGGCAUGUGGGCGUGAGCACUGUGUGUGUCUUGCAGAGGGGCCGUGGCUGUGAGCUUUGGGUAUGUGCUGGGCUCUGAGGGGACAGGAGGUGGGGUGAUGGCAGUCCCCACAGGAAGAGUGGGUGGACGGAUGGACUGAUGGGUGGACGGACGUAGGGAUGGGUGGGCGGAGAGAACGGCACGAUGUGCAUGGAGCCAUGGAGAAGCUGUACUGAGAAACACUGGGGGCAGACUUACUGCCCCCUCAGGCACGUCUGAAGAAGAAAAGCACCGUUUCUAUGCAAUCUGUCACCACGCCGGUCCUUGGCAUUCCGAUGACACUCUACAGCGUAUCCAGAGCCAGCCUCAGCCUCCACACUGUUUGUACCUUUUCAGCCUCAGUGACUGAGCAUCAUCUCCAUAAAUUCUGCCACGAACCCCAUGCAAUAUUCCUAUUCUGCUGCCUGAAGACUGAGAAAUGUGACUCUCUUUCCCCUACUGAGCAGCCUGCAGGUAGACAAGGGGACCCCCCACCGCAGCGUGUGCUGGGGCCAGGCCCUCCUCAUGAGCUCUGCAGCCGGCCCCAGGUGGCCUGGAUGCAGCCCACUGCCUCUUGGCUCAUCUCCCCAAAGCACACAAUCCAUUAGAGCCCAUCGUCGGCCACAGCCGGGUGCCGUGGGACCUACCACACCCCAACCCCGCUCAUCCAAGGCACACCGCCCUCACCGACCCAGGGCCUCACACAGGUUGGGUGGGUAGGGGUGCUGGGCCCCUUGGGCGGGACCUGAUUUUUUUUUUUUUUGGUAUCAUUAAUAUACAAUUACAUGAGCAACAUUGUGGUUACUAGAUUCCCCCCAUUAUCAAGUC